rnacentral:rRNA from 1 species
GAUUAACGCUGGCGGCGUGCCUAACACAUGCAAGUCGAACGAUGAAACUUUAAUGAGCCCUUCGGGGAGAAUUAAAGCGGAUUAGUGGCGAACGGGUGAGUAACGCGUGAGUAACCUGCCUUACACAAGGGGAUAGCCUUUGGAAACGAAGAAUAAUACCCUAUAAAACCAUAAAAGCACAUGCAAUUAUGGUCAAAGUGAUAGCGGUGUAAGAUGGACUUGCGUCUGAUUAGCUAGUUGGUGAGAUAAAAGCCCACCAAGGCAACGAUCAGUAGCCGGCUUGAGAGAGUGUACGGCCACAUUGGGACUGAGACACGGCCCAGACUCCUACGGGAGGCAGCAGUGGGGAAUUUUGCACAAUGGGGGAAACCCUGAUGCAGCGACGCCGCGUGAUUUAGAAGGCCUUCGGGUUGUAAAAAUCUUUUGUAUAGGAAGAAAAUGACAGUACUAUACGAAUAAGGUCCGGCUAAUUACGUG